rnacentral:rRNA from 1 species
ACUCAAAUGAAUUGACGGGGGCCCGCACAAGCGGUGGAGCAUGUGGUUUAAUUCGAUGCAACGCGAAGAACCUUACCUAAACUUGACAUGAACUGGAAGAGUGGCAGAAAUGUCCUCGCUCGCAAGAGUCGGUUCACAGGUGCUGCAUGGCUGUCGUCAGCUCGUGUCGUGAGAUGUUGGGUUAAGUCCCGCAACGAGCGCAACCCUUACCUUUAGUUGCCAGCAUUUAGUUGGGCACUCUAAAGGGACUGCCUGCGUUAAGCAGGAGGAAGGUGGGGAUGACGUCAAGUCCUCAUGGCCCUUAUGUUUAGGGCUACACACGUGCUACAAUGGUGGUCACAGAGGGAAGCCAAGCCGCGAGGUGGAGCUAAUCCCUUAAAAGCCAUCUAAGUUCAGAUUGGUCUCUGCAACUCGAGACCAUGAAGUUGGAAUCGCUAGUAAUCGCGGAUCAGAAUGCCGCGGUGAAUACGUUCCCGGGCCUUGUACACACCGCCCGU